ACCUAAAAUAUAUAUAAGUUAAAACUUCAUAAAUAAUACUAACUAAAUAUGGGAAUAUUGAUGUAGAUAUUAUUUUUUUGGUAUUUUAUAAUGAAUAAAUAAUAAUAUAGUAAUUAAUAAUUAUUUUUUUAUUAAACAGUCUUGUAUUACUAAUUAUAUACCCAGGUUAUUCAUUUAAAUUAUCAGUUACCAUUAUUGACAUUAUAUUGAAAAACUGUUUUAAUAGUAAUCCCAUGUAAAUGGAAGAGAAAGCAUGGAAAUGGGUACAACCUAGAAAGCACAGGGGGAGGUGUGGCUAAAAUUUUGCAAAGCAGGACUUGAUGGAGGGAGCUGACCUGUGAGAGAGAUACACUGUAACCCAACUGCAUCUUGUGACACAAGGAAAUUAUGCAAAGCCUUUUAAUAGUCAAAGCUAUUUUUAAACAAUGUGUGAAGAUCCCAAUCAAUAUAGGUAUGUAAGUGUCUCUCAAGAAUGUUGCUAUCAAAAAUCAUUAAUAAGUAAAUUGUUAAAAUACUGGAAACAAUACAAACACACCAUUGCUCCCUUCAAUGACAUCAAUACUAUUUUCUCUGGAACACAAUUUGCACUUGAUAAGCAAGUUAGUCUCUGAUCUAUUAUGUUUUUGUGGAACUUUCUCGGCUUCAGUAAGAUCGUGAAACUUGUCUGAUUCCUCACCGCAACUACAACAU